rnacentral:rRNA from 1 species
UACGUAGGGGGCUAGCGUUGUCCGGAAUCAUUGGGCGUAAAGAGCGUGUAGGCGGCCCGGUAAGUCCGCUGUGAAAGUCGGGGGGCUCAACCCUCGGAUGCCGGUGGAUACUGUCGGGCUCGAGUACGGAAGAGGCGAGUGGAAUUCCUGGUGUAGCGGGUGAAAAUGCGCAGAUAUCAGGAGGAACACCUAUUGCGAAGGCAGCUCGCUGGGACGUUACUGACGCUGAGACGCGAAGCGUGGGGAGCAAACAGG